rnacentral:rRNA from 1 species
AUGUUUGACGGAGAUGAGCGGAUGUUUCGGGGUGUCAGGCAUGUGCCAGGGCUAAGGAGGAAUCUAUCACUUGGUGUUCUUCAUGAUGGUGGUAUGGAAUUCCGUUCUGACUGGGAUAAGAAGGCCAUGAAAAUCAUGGAAGAUGGGGUGACUAUGAUGAUAGGAGAGAGGAUGGCUUCACAUCUUUACAAGUUGCAAGGGAGCACUAUUGCAGGUGGAGCCAUGGGAAGUGGAGCUGCAAGAGUAGCAGUGGAGUCUCACGGUGGCGGCGGGUCUGGCCCGUCGGGUAGCUCUCAGUAA